UAAUAAUACGUGGCUUAUGCUUUAUAGGUUUUAGGUAAUUGCCUGUCAUCCUAUUGCAUUCAAGUUGUAUUCCAUGUUGAUGGUCUUAUAAAAUUGAAGUAAAAAGAUUGAAAGCUUUUCUUCAUGUGAAUGAGCGUACUAAAAUCCCACCAUAUCUGCCCAAAUCAACUGUGUACUUUUCCUGAUGAAAAAUACUGGAAGGCAGAUGCUGGCUAUUAAACAAGAUAAUGAGAGAGUAAAACACUUGGUUAUUCCUGUAAAAAAUGGAUCAUUGGAUGUCAUGAUGUGACCUCCUUUGUGAGACUUUCCGAGGGAAGAACACAUAAGGAAUAAAGAGGAGUAAAGGAAAACCCUCAACCCCAAAACACCAUGCCUCUUUAAUUUAGAGAAGUGUAUGUGCAACAGAUGGAGAUGAAAGCAAGGAAAAAGUGUCUAUCUUGAUUUCAAAGCAAUGACAUGGAUUAGUAUUACAGUUGCUAAAUAAACUUAAUACAGCCUCACUUAUGCCUAUCUUACUAAUGCUUUUUCUUCUUUUUUUUUAAUGCUUUUUCUUCCUUUUUUUUUCCAUACAUUCCCCAUCCUCUGGACCAUAAUUCAGUUGUAGUACAGUGCACUUCUAGAUCUACACAGUUGGCUAUUCCCUAGAUUUUUAAGUUACUUCCUCAUUUACUUUUCAAGAUAUUGCCAGAAAUUUAUACAAAUUCUGUAUUUCACCACAAUGCACAGCUGUAUGGUCUGUAAUUUUUUUUUUUUUAGUAAGAUGGUUUCUCUGCUGAUUCAAAGGGGAAAGAAGUAACUAACACAAAAUGUAAGAUAUAAACAUAUCACCCCCAAAUUUACAGAACUUACUUUACAUGAAAUAUAAUCCUAAUGGCUGUGAAAGGUACAUGAUAAUUAAGAGGCAUUCAUGUUGAACAACAUGCUAGGAGAGUGCUUCUGGAAACUAUGAAAAGAUCCUCAUGCCCCUUUUUAUUAGAACAGAUAGUCUUUUAUCAAAAGCUAAUUUUGUAGUAGUGUCUGUAGUUAAUUUAUUUAAACACUUGAGAAUGGUUUAAACUGACUUCCCAAGAGGAAUUAAAUUAUUUCUGUUUAGUGGUUUGGGGUUUUUGGGUUUUUUUUUUUACUUUUGUGUGAGUUAUUUUGACAGUUUCAGGGACAGAAAUGUUUUGAUUAUUCAGGAAACAAGUAUAGUAGAAACCACUGAUGCACAUAGUCCCUCAAAUUGCCUGUCCAAAGUGAUUUGAUACUGUCAAAUAUUCUGAAUGAUGAAUGGGUAAGGGUAUCAUUUAGUCUCCAAGUACCUGAGUCCUCCGUUUCUACUGUAGCAGUGCUUUUCUUCUAUGGCAGCUAAACGGAGAUCAUAAAAUCAUUUAAGAUAAGCUAUCAAGUAGUCAGGAAGGAAAUUAUCUUUUUUGCUGUUAUUUUGAAUUUAAAUUCUAUGACUGAGAAAAUUAGUAUGUUGGAUUCCACUACCAACUCCUUAAGUAAGUAUUUUUCAGGGGGUAUUUUUUUAACAAGGUGUUAUGCCAUUUUCCAAAGAAAAACAAAGCAGAACAUUUGUAGUCCUCAUUGUCUUUAUAAAAAACAGAUUCACAUUUAUUGCUUAAAAAAGUUACAAUACAUGUAGUAUUUCUUGAAAAACUGACAAGCGUGCUUGCCCUUGAAGAAUGAAAGUCAGCAGGAGUAUAGAUUUGCUUUAUGAUUUGCAAAAUUUUCAGCAACUUAAGAAUACCUGGCAUACUUCAUUACUACCAUGUCUGUCACAACCCACCUUCUCAGAAAUACUGUCCUGGUCCAUCACCUUAACCAUAAUGAUGAAAUAACUGGCUAAUUUCAGUAUUGGUGACUUAGAGACAUCAACAACAUUGGCCAAAUUACAGUAAGACACCAAACAAGAAUAAUAUGCCAUCCUUCUAAGAGGUAUAUUUGGCUGUAAUUACCUGUAUAUUUGAGGUCUAAGUAAGCUCUUGGAUACGUUGUGGUUAACUGGAACAUACCAAAGAAAAGAUCAGGCAUAUCUUUAAAGAUGAGCUUGUUCAAAAGGACAGAAAGAACAGUAAAAUUACUCCUCGUUUCAAUGAUAGUUAGCUAGUUAAAUCCCUUGUCUAAAUAAACCGCAUAUAUUUCUGUCAGGUCAAAGACAAAUAAACCAACCAACCAAACAAAAAGCCCUGAAGUAUUUCUGUGGACUUUAUUUUCUUAAAUCAUUAAAUUAAGUCAAUACACCAUCAAACAAUUAAAACACAGCACUCUACAAGACUUUGUAAUAAUUUCCCCAGAGAAACAUAGCAUCAUUCUAUAUAAAACACAAUGGGGGAAAAUAAAAGAGAAAGAAAGAAUGUUCAAGAAAAAAAUCCUCUAAAUGAAGAGUGACAGCAAGUGAACCUGCUGCCUCUGCUGUAGUGUAAUGUUUAUUUCGCUACAAAUAUGCGAACAAUUCACCAGCAGGACUGCCUCAGAAGAAGGAGACAAGGGCAGGAGAAGUAGUUUCCUGCAGGCCAUCUGUGACAUCAAUGGUACUAGGGCUCCUAGCUCAGUGAGGUUCCCUGCCCCAGGUCUUCUGGAAACACUGGCUGAUCUCUGCAGGGAAACCUACUGAGAUAAAAGGCGGUUUAUACUUCAGUGUAUGAAGUACACUAUCAGCAUCCUGAUUAGCUCAGGCUAACUAAUUCCCUGUACCUUUAGUCAAACAGUGAAAAUUGUACUUUGCAUGUAGCUGAGCAGGUGAAUGGAAGCCUACACUUCAAUCAGCUUGAGGCCUGUUGUGACCCCUGAACAGCUGUGCCCAUCCUGGGGAGCAUGUGAAACCCCUUAACUGGCCUGUUUGAGUAACUACCUUUAAGAAUUGACAUUUCAUCUGAACUAGCAACUUUUAAAGCCUACUAGGUACACUGGUCAAAUUCUUUCUUAAACACAAACACUCCUCAAAGGUUGUGGUUUGCUUGGUACAUUUGCAUCCUGGAACAAGCACUGAAGUAGCAACUGAACUAGGAUGGUCCAAAUCUGGCUAGUAAUCAAUUACAUCAAAGUAAUAAAAAUAGACAUAUCUUGAAAGCGCUCCAGAGAAUCCUUUGAUGUCUCCUUUAGUAAACACAAUAGGUCAAAUUACCUACUGCUGAAAACUGCUGUUAACAGCUUGGUCAUUUUCAGUAACAGUGUAACCCAUACAGACUUAGCUUGCAGUCUGAACGCAGCCUGAGGGCACAAAAAACAGGAAUAACAAGGAAAACCAACCAUCUCCAAAGGGAUGGGGUAAAGUAGGUCACCAUUAAACACCAUUUUGACAAGGUUACGGAUGUUCCAACCAAUAUACCCUGGCCUCCUGAAACUGAUUAAACUCCUGAGUUGCUCCAGAGAGGAGUUCUGCCCGCUGAAUUCAGCCUGUGUUACCUUAUUUUAGCAACAGUGGAUAAUUGCCUAGCCCUUCACACCCCUGCUGUUUUGCCAUGUAUGUUUAUGUUAUCUAUGUUUCUUCAGGCAUGAAAAGAAUUCAUACAAAAGAAGGAAACAGAGGUAGUUAGUAACUGCACAACAACAAAAAUUUUUGGUUUUCUAAUCUGGCAUCAUAAUUGCACCAUGCACAUGCUCAUCUGACUUUCAUGCUUCAAUAUCCAUUGAGCUAAAUCAGCACAGAAAAUGAACAUUCUUGUUGACAAAAACUGCUGGUGACUUGACAGGGAUAUAUUUUUCAUCUAGAUCAAAUGGUAGUUUUGCUGGGACAGAAAAAAAAAAAAAAAGAAAAAAAAAAAAGAAUACUCUGUAUCCAUACUAAUAAAUACCCUGUAGUGAUUUUCAGAGAUUCUGUUGCUUAGGUCUGUGAAAAGAGCCUAAAGAAUUUUAUGUUGUCACAUGUUUAUUCUUGUAAAAUAGUUCUUAUUUUCUGGAAGGAUUUCAAGAGAAGAGAAAAAUCUUUAACUAAAAGGAAAUGAUGUUGUCAUUUGAACAUGAAGAUAAAAAAGUGCCAAGCAAUGAAGUGCUAAACAAAGUCCUGAGGAUGAGAGGAUUUUGUGGGAGACUUCAGUGUCUUUAUCUUUGUGUAAGUUACUGAAGUGUUCUAUGCUCUUGUGAAUCCCACAUGACUGUGCAAGCCAUGAAAACUUAGCAUAUCAUUAUUCAACAAAGCACUCCAGGUUUUCACUGGGAGUCAUAUGUAAACUUAGACACUAGGUUUUCCAACUUGCUACACAAAGCUGCAGCAACUUAAAAUGGAUUGAUGUAAGGACUCAGCAUUUUGCUCCAUGACCUAGAAGUGAGAUUAAAAGCACUUCUAAUUCAAAGGAAAUGUGGAUUAGCUUGGGAAUUGUUUCAGUGAAAAUGUUAGACAAGCUGUUGAAGAAACAGUGGAAAAUGAACAAUUGGCCAAGUUGGAAUAUCAGGAAAGUUACUUUUUAUCCAGUAUUUCUUAAAAAGCUAACUCCUGCCUAACACACUGACCUUGGCCUUCACUCCAGCUGUAAAAGGGGUUUGCUACCUCUUCUUCCUAACAGAAGGAGACAUAAUGGUCCCAGAUGCAACAGCCAGGGAACUGAGCAUGCACUACAAAGUCUGUAAGUGUGACCUAGUCAUCCUUAUUGAAGGGGAGCAGCCCCCAGCUACACAGAAAGGCCUGCUGAUCUUUGGAAUUUGAAACAGAUCAAGUGGAACCCAAUGGCAUCCCCAAACCUGUUUUUUCCACUGUCUUGUAAUGCCACUUGGCAAACUGAACCCUUUUUGUUGUUUUUGUGUUUAAAAAAAGGCCAAUGGAACAAUCUUAUUUUAUGAGCUUUCUCCUAUGAUCUUAUUCUUUGUAGUAUCCACUGAAUCAAAAGGGUCCUCAACAAGAUGAGUUUUGCUCAGAUUAACAAAGGAUUUGGCUGCAAGCUUGAUUUACAGUAAUUAAAGGAAAAACAAGUUGGACAGGAUGCUGAAGAGAAAAUUGAGGCCUGGUAAUAUAUGCAAACAGGGAGAAGCUGUUGUUGUUGUUGAUCUUAGUGCUUUAUUUUCCGGCAGCAUGAGCUGAAGUGUUCCAAACAGGAACUAAUAGUAAUCUGUUGGAUGGACUAGAUAGAUAUCUUGCUUUUGCUGAAGUAAUUUUUUUUUCUCUCCUAAAAUGGCAAAUCUCUUUGGAGAACAUUUGCAUCUUGUUUCCCCUUUUCCUCUCAGAUAUAUGAAGCAUCCUGUAUGGAAUGCUGCUUGGUGGUCAGGAUGCUUGGUUGUUCCACCUGUUUUGAAGGCACGUAGAAUAGCAUGCUCCAAAAAUAAAACUGGCUGGUCUCAGGCAAGCGGAAGUGAAAAACCAGCACUGAUGUACAAGUAACCUGUGUUAACCUUUAAACUGAAAGGCUGGGCUGCUUUUCCCUCAAGUCCCCGAGGGGCAGUGCUAUACCAGCCAAACAAGGCAAACUCUAUUCAUGGCUGGACCAUCCAUUCCUCUGUUGGUCCAUCAGGAAGCAGCUGAAAUGGACUGGUGAAUGCAGCCUUUGGAGACUGUUGAUCACUUGGCCACACAGGGCUCUGGAACACUACUAUACUUGAGAAAACAAAACCCAAAGACAGGGUUCACGACAGCUGCUCUGCUCUCAGUAUUUUUGUGCAAUGUGUUUAUUACCAGGCCAAAUCUUCUGAGCUAUUUUGCAUAAUAAACCUCUAAAAGUCUAA